rnacentral:rRNA from 1 species
AUACGGAGGAUCCGAGCGUUAUCCGGAUUUAUUGGGUUUAAAGGGUGCGCAGGCGGGAGAUUAAGUCGGCGGUGAAAUUUUGCAGCUCAACUGUAAAAGUGCCUUCGAAACUGGUUUCCUUGAGUGUAGGUGAAGUAGGCGGAAUUUGUGGUGUAGCGGUGAAAUGCAUAGAUAUCACGAGGAACUCCGAUUGCGCAGGCAGCUUACUAAACUACUACUGACGCUCAGGCACGAAGGCGUGGGGAUCAAACAGGAUUAGAUACCCUGGUAGUCCACGCAGUAAACGAUGAUUACUAGCUGUUUGCGAUACAAUGUAAGCGGCUGAGCGAAAGCGUUAAGUAAUCCACCUGGGGAGUACGUUCGCAAGAAUGAAACUCAAAGGAAUUGACGGGG